ACCAUUCUUAUAUCCAUUCUUAUAUUUUUUAUAUAAAAACGAGUUACAUUGCAUUUAUAUUUUUUUCUGACAGUUAUUGUUUUUUGGUAAAAAAAUACCAGAUUUUUUAAAAAACAAAAGUAACACGGUUUUUGUGCAAAAGUAACACUUUUUCUGGAAAAAGGUAACACGUAUUUUGGUUUUCACGGUUCGCAUAUAACCGUAGUUUGCACCUGAACGCGACCAUAUAUAUAUAUAUAUAUUUAAAUUUUUUUAUGAUAUCUUAGAUUUAUUUACUAGAUGACCAUAGAAGACUUAAAUUGAUUACUCCCAAAAUGAGGUCCGACAUUUAGAUUUCCCUGACGCGUAUACAACGACACGGAUGAAUACUACACUAUAAUACAGAUUCAUCGAUGACACGACUUAAAUAGAGGAGAGAGAGAAAGAUAAGUGAGAAGGAUGGGUUUUUACAUAAUCUUUUGGUUAUUAAAAACACCAUUGAAGAAGUUUCAAGCAAGGUUUCGUGAUAGACAUGAAAAAUGAUGAGGAAGAAGACACAGGAAGAAACUGAUUUUUGAUCAAAUGCGUUGUAUUGUAGAGGAGAGCACUUGUCUGUGGGCUUUUGGUAGUCCCAUGUAGCUCAGAAGGAAUCCGAGAGAUUUGCGUUGAAUAAGUACCCAUUAAGGAAUCUGACUUUUGGUAUAAAGCAGAUUACCUUUGAUAAUUCGGUGGCCAGUCGUGUCAUUCUAAAUCACUUGAGUUAUAGAUUAAUUAGACCCAAAAAUGGGUUCGACUUGUUUGACAUUGUGAGCCCUAUAUUAUAAUUCGAUUCAUGGAUGACGCGGAUUACACAUGUCCCGACCUAAUAUACUUGAAAUAAUUUCUUGAGUUUUUUUAUAUCGAUCUUUAAACAUCGUUACCUUUUUAUUUUAUCGUCAUCCCCAUUGAAAUUAUGGAGACCCAGUCGAUAGCCUACUACAUGGCUAUUAUCGGCUCUAACUUGCUGGCGGAUAAGACCAGAACCGACAUGCGUCUUCACCCGAUACUUACCGUCAACGUCGAUCAAGAUGAGAUCGCCUGGGGUGCGGUGACGCUGGCCUACAUGUAUCGCCAACUAGGAAUGGCAUUUAGGGCUGGUUACAAGACCAUUGCUGGUUGCCUCACAUUGCUCCAGACAUUGAUUUACGAGUACUUUCUGCCUUCCGCCUUCAUCCUCGCCAAGUAGAUGUGCCUAAUAAGACUAGGGCGAAGAUGUGGUCCACGCCCAAGCCAGGUCGUGAGAUCAACAGGCUGAGGUCCUGCAGGUGUAUACUAGACUGCAUGGCGGAGACUCAGGUGGAAUGGAUUCCGUAUAUGACUUCUCCAAGGGCAUUGCUAAAUGAGCACCCACGCACCACCUACAUCGGGGGUAUUACUUGCUUUGAUAUCAUCGAGGUGUAUUUGCCGGAGAGGACAGUGCGACAGGUCGGCUUUGUGCAUGCUGUACGACCGGCACACGGUACUUAUUCUGUAACCUUUGCUUCUCCGCCUAUGAACACGGAGGCAUGGAGUAAGUUCCCCUAUAGUGCCCGCCUAGGUGAUCAGGCACUUCAUCGGGCAUCUGUUCCAUCAGAGGUUGAUCCUAGUUACGUUGACUAGUUCAGAGUGUGCUCCCACCCAUACAUCCUCCCCGGCGAAGGACCGAGUGCCGCUUUUGGUCCAGCUGAAAGUAGAUCGGAAUACGUUGCAUGCCGGUUGCACUAAGCUGUCGUAUGUGCUCCCGAAUAUCUACAUUCAUCAUAUUUGCCUUUACAAGACCAUCUCUGUGCACUAAAAACGGGUGGCUAUGUAUACCUUUUUCCCCAGGACAAACCCUCACCGUCCAAGGUCUUUCUCCUGGUUUACGACUACUUGCUACAAUCAUAAAUUUACACUGACACGUUCUACUUUUAGAACCAGGUCGGGCAGCAUUAUCUAGGUUAUGCAAAUUACCCCUAAUAUUACCUCAACGGUGACAUCUUAAAUACAAACUAACUUUAGAACAUCCUUCUUUUUGUUUAUAAGAAGCACGUGUAAAUUGAAAACCAAUUAUUAUUGCUAUUUCAUCUGCCCAACUAUGUAAUUCAUCCAUAGAAUCAAAUUCCCUAUCCGUAA